UACGUAGGGUGCAAGCGUUGUCCGGAAUUAUUGGGCGUAAAGAGCUCGUAGGCGGCCCUCCACGUCGGAUGUGAAAGCUCAGGGCUCAACCCUGAGAUGCCAUUCGAUACGGGAAGGCUAGAGGUAGGUAGGGGAAAGUGGAAUUCCUGGUGUAGCGGUGAAAUGCGCAGAUAUCAGGAGGAACACCGGUGGCGAAGGCGGGUCUCUGGGCCGAUACUGACGCUGAGGAGCGAAAGCGUGGGGAGCGAACAGG
rnacentral:rRNA from 1 species